rnacentral:rRNA from 1 species
CCUACGGGUGGCAGCAGUGGGGAAUAUUGCACAAUGGGCGAAAGCCUGAUGCAGCAACGCCGCGUGAAGGAAGAAGGGUUUCGGCUCGUAAACUUCUAUCAACAGGGACGAAAGAAAUGACGGUACCUGAAUAAGAAGACCCGGCUAACUACGUGCCAGCAGCCGCGGUAAUACGUAGGGGGCAAGCGUUAUUCGGACUUACUGGGUGUAAAGGGUGAGUAGGCGGCAUGGUAAGCCAGAUGUGAAAGCCUUGGGCUUAACCAGAGGAUUGCAUUUGAAACUAUCAAGCUAGAGUACAGGAGAGGAAAGCGGAAUUCGUAGUGUAGCGGUGAAAUGCGUAGAUAUUAGGAAGAACAUCGGUGGCGAAGGCGACUAUCUGGCACAUAACUGACGCUGAGGAGCGAAAGCGUGGGUAGCAAACAGGAUUAGAUACCCUUGUAGUC